CUUGUAGAAAGCACGGGAUCCCGUCCGCUCUCCCCUAGUUAACCUACUAAGCGCUGGACUAGUACUACGGUGGGUGACCACGCGGGAAUACCCAGUGUUGUAUGUU
rfam:Ceratocystis platani strain CFO contig_00387, whole genome shotgun sequence.